rnacentral:rRNA from 1 species
UACGAAGGUGGCAAGCGUUGUUCGGAUUUACUGGGCGUACAGGGAGCGUAGGCGGUUGGAUAAGCCCUCCGUGAAAUCUCCAGGCUUAACCUGGAAAGUGCAGAGGGGACUGUUCAGCUAGAGGAUGGGAGAGGAGCGCGGAAUUCCCGGUGUAGCGGUGAAAUGCGUAGAGAUCGGGAGGAACACCAAAGGCGAAGGCAGUGUCCUGGGAAGUACCUGACGCUCAGGUGCGAAAGCCAGGGGAGCGAACGGG